CUAGACUCGAGGCCGCAGACGCUUCUCGUCAGUGCGGCGCCGAACGUCGUUCGAACGUGGCGUGUGACGCCAAUGAUGUGGGCAAACAGGGGUCGGGGACCCCGCGCCCGCAGCGUUUUCCGCAUCCCGGAGGUCGAACGGGAACCCGAGGGCCGCAACGACCACGCCGCGCGCGGGCGUUGCGGAACCCGGGUCUCGUUUCGGGGUUCACCCGUAGCCGCGCCGUGCGAACGGGCAGCGCUAGGCGAACGUGAGAAGGAUCGACCGGCACAAUUCCGUCUACGUAGGUAUGCAACACAGGAAACCGACGGUCGCGGCCAAGGCAACUCGCUCUUGUGCCAACGAUGAAGAGGAACGCACGGG
rnacentral:misc_RNA from 1 species